AUGUCCUCAAAAUCUAAUGUAGUCCUACAUAUUCUAUCCCAAAAUUAUUUUUCUAAGGAACUAUGUGAACAUGCUUUAGAAUAGGCAUCAAAAUAGUGUCAACAUUAUCAGUAAGCAAAGAAUCUGAUAUCACAUCAUCUUUUGAAAGGGCUUCCAGUUCAUUUUAUUCUCUCUUUAUAUUCCCUCAAGUUGAUUAUCACCGUCUGUUCAUUACCUAGUGGUGGUGUAAAUGGGUUUUAGUUCUUUGAAAUGAUUUGAAAACUAAUUAGUGAAAACUAUAAAUUGAUGUGUUUGAAUGAGUUUUGAGAGUUGAGGCCAGCAAGUAAGAGAAGCUUCAAUCUGUUUGGUGAGAGAGAGAGAAAGAGAGAGAAAGAGAGAAGCAAUGGCAUCACUCAAGCCUGAGAAACCUGUUGGUACUCAACCCACCGCCCCGGCCAAGAAAGAGCCUUCCAAAGGUUCUUCUAAGAAGGUCGAGCCGAAACCUCAAGAGCCUAAGAAAAAGUCAUCAGGAACCAAGUUAGCAACAAAGAAGAAAUAAGGACGAUAAGCACUGGCUUGUGAUCUAUAGCUAUGUAGCCCUUUUUGGGAUUGGCAUAAUAAUUAAAUAAAACAUAAAUAUUUGACAGGAUGAUU